rnacentral:rRNA from 1 species
UACGAAGGGGGCGAGCGUUGUUCUGAAUUACUGGGCGUAAAGGGCGCGUAGGCGGCGACCCAAGUCAGAUGUGAAAGUCCUGGGCUUAACCUGGGGACUGCAUUUGAUACUGGGUUGCUUGAAUUCGGGAGAGGAUAGCGGAAUUCCCAGUGUAGAGGUGAAAUUCGUAGAUAUUGGGAAGAACACCGGUGGCGAAGGCGGCUAUCUGGACCGACAUUGACGCUGAGGCGCGAAAGCGUGGGGAGCAAACAGG